UACAGAGGGUGCAAGCGUUAAUCGGAAUUACUGGGCGUAAAGCGUGUGUAGGUGGUUAGAUAAGUUAGAUGUGAAAUCCCCGGGCUUAACCUGGGCACUGCGUUUAAAACUGUUUAACUAGAGUGCUGUAGAGGGUAGUGGAAUUUCCAGUGUAGCGGUGAAAUGCGUAGAUAUUGGAAGGAACACCAGUGGCGAAGGCGACUACCUGGACAGACACUGACACUGAGACACGAAAGCCAGGGGAGCAAACGGG
rnacentral:rRNA from 1 species